rnacentral:lncRNA from 1 species
CUUUUCUGUGCCUUCUGUUUGAGCCGGGAGCCUUCCGGGCUGGAGCAGCUUCCGGGCUGUAUUUUGUGGUGGCGUGGGCAUGAAGUUUGAACACAGAAAAAGCAAAUCGCUUGCAUCACCCCCUGUGUUGUUGUUUUACCUGAUUUCCUGGAAGGUCGUGGCAAAUCCCUCUUACCGCUGUUUGCUGGGGGUCAGGGCAGGAAGGUUCCUGUCGGGCUGCUCAAUUCUGACCAGAUCUAAAGGUUGUCUUCUGGGAGGAGCCAAGAUGGCCUAAUAGGAAAAGCUCCGGUCUACAGCUCCCAGCGUGAGUGACGCAGAAGACGGGUGAUUUCUGCAUUUCCAUCUGAGGUACCGGGUUCAUCUCACUAGGCAGUGCCAGACAGUGGGCGCAGGUCAGUGGGUGCGCGCACCAUGCGCGAGCCAAAGCAGGGCGAGGCAUUGCCUCACUCGGGAAGCGCAAGGGGUCAGGGAGCUCCCUUUCCUAGUCAAAGAAAGGGGUGACAGACAGCACUGGAAAUUCGGGUCACUCUCACCCAAAUACUGCGCUUUUCCAACGGGCUUAAAAAACGGCGCACCAGGAGAUUAUAUCCCGCACAUGGCUCGGAGGGUCCUACACCCACAGAGUCUUGCUGAUUGCU